rnacentral:rRNA from 1 species
CACGUAGGGCGCAAGCGUUGUCCGGAAUUAUUGGGCGUAAAGAGCUCGUAGGCGGUCUGUUGCGUCCGCUGUGAAAACUCGGGGCUUAACCCCGAGCCUGCAGUGGAUACGGGCAGACUAGAGGUAGGCAGGGGAGAAUGGAAUUCCCGGUGUAGCGGUGAAAUGCGCAGAUAUCGGGAGGAACACCGGUGGCGAAGGCGGUUCUCUGGGCCUUACCUGACGCUGAGGAGCGAAAGCGUGGGGAGCGAACAGG